rfam:Hordeum vulgare subsp. vulgare, WGS project CAJW01000000 data, contig: morex_contig_61372
AAUAUACUCCCUCCGUCCCAAAAUUUUUGUAUUAGAUUUGUUUAGAUACGAAUGUAUCUAGUCAAGUUUUAGUAUUUAGAUAUAUUCAUUUCUAGACAAAGGUAAGACAAGAACUUUGAGACGGAGGGAGUAAUAU